UUCAAGUCCUUUGAGGAGCGGAUAAAGGAGAUGUUUGAGAACCUGAUGCAGGUGGAGCAUCCGAACAUUGUGAAGUUUCACAAGUACUGGUUGGACAUGAGCGAGAGCAGAGCGAGGGUGAUUUUUAUCACUGAAUAUAUGUCAUCUGGAAGUCUCAAGCAGUUUUUGAAGAAGACCAAGAAAAACCACAAAACUAUGAAUGUGAAGGCAUGGAAGCGUUGGUGCACGCAGAUACUCUCUGCACUCAGGUAGGACAUUGAGGAUUUAGCAUCAUCUCCUGAACUCAUCUGCACAUU